rnacentral:rRNA from 1 species
UACGGAGGAUGCAAGCGUUAUCCGGAUUCAUUAGGUAUAAAGGGUGCGUAGGCGGAUUUGUAAGUCAGUGGUGAAAUACUACAGCUUAACUGUAGAACUGCCAUUGAUACUGCAAGUCUUGAGUACAAUUGAGGUAGGCGGAAUGUGUGGUGUAGCGGUGAAAUGCUUAGAUAUCACACAGAACACCAAUUGCGAAGGCAGCUUACUAAACUGUAACUGACGCUGAUGCACGAAAGCAUGGGGAGCAAACAGG